rnacentral:rRNA from 1 species
CAGUCGCCGCGGGAAUACGUAGGUGGCAAGCGUUGUCCGGAAUUAUUGGGCGUAAAGGGCUCGCAGGCGGUUUCUUAAGUCUGAUGUGAAAGCCCCCGGCUCAACCGGGGAGGGUCAUUGGAAACUGGGAAACUUGAGUGCAGAAGAGGAGAGUGGAAUUCCACGUGUAGCGGUGAAAUGCGUAGAGAUGUGGAGGAACACCAGUGGCGAAGGCGACUCUCUGGUCUGUAACUGACGCUGAGGAGCGAAAGCGUGGGGAGCGAACAGGAUUAGAUACCCCCGUAGUCCCUGUCUCUAUACA